rnacentral:lncRNA from 1 species
CGGAGAAAUACACAAUGCAAAAGAACAAAGAGAGGUCACGCUUCGCGCGAGUGGAGAACUUGGAGAGGGGAGGAACGACGGCACCACUUGAAAAACGAAAAAAGGAAAAACGAGAGUUGCAACUGGACGAUCACAGAUGAGUCUGGCGUCUUCGUUUGACACAGAGCCUCAAACGAAUCACGAAGAGCAAAAGAAGCGGAGAAGUUGGACAGAGAGAGUGUGUGUGUCCAGGCAGGCAGAGACAAGAGAGGCGCGACGACGGGGAAUAGGCUCAGAAGCAGUGGAGAGGAGGCUAUUUAAGAGAACUGAGAAAAACGAGAUUCUUUCGAAGCAAGAGCCUGAGGGAAACGCAGGUGAGGUCGAGCGAAAAGGGAGAAAAGCAGAGGGAGGGGGUAUCGUUUCCUGUUCGUUCGCUCCACUUUUCCAGUCCUCUCGGAUGCUCGCCGCUGGGCGCUUGUCUCUCCUUGCUCUGCGGUCCGCGCAUCCCCUGCGAUUUCCGUAGGUUUUUUUCUGCCUUCUCUGGAUCCGCCACUCGGGAGCCUUCAGCAGAGUCUCUUGCCCAUCUUCUGUUGUUCGUUGGCUUCUCCUCCACACCAUGAAACAAAAACGAGAUGCUAGUGCCGAGGCGACACACCGCGCAACAGUCGCGCGCCGUCCUCGCUCUUCGUCAUCAUUUUCCGCGACUCAUCACCCCGUUCAAUUUUUCUUCUCUUUCCUUCUGUGUGUCUGCGCCUUCUUUCCUCUCGCGUUGUGUCGUCUUUCUCUGUGUGUGUCGUUUGAGGCGGCGGAGAAGAAGCGAGCGUCUGAAAGACGGGUGCGCGGCUGCAGAGCCAGGCGCUUCUCUCGCGAGUCACGCGGCAGGUCGUUGCGUUGUCAAAUCGCAAAGUGAACGGCCGUCAGAAAAACGUCUUUUCGCCGCAAUGGAAGAGUCUCGCGGAUUCUCGUCGCUGCGCGCGGAAGCUGCGACGGCCUCCCAAGGGUAGGCGCGGGGGACUCUCGGCUGACCGAACGGACGCCGCAGGUCACGGCCGUCGUUCGCAGGAGCUUUUGCGUGACUAGAGAAAGUCUCCGCAGUCGAGACGCCGAAGGAAACAAGCGGCUUCUUCAGCCGCAGCAAACAGAAAACGCGACGACAAGAGGCGGGAGCUGCGCCCCUGUGGCGGCUCUCAGGCCGACCUCGCGUCAAGUUCCGCCUCCGACGGUGGGCUGGAAGAGUUGGAGACGCGGAUCGAUGGAAGCGGGGGAGAAAACGGCCGAGGGAACCUUUCCGUUCUCCAGUGCAGAGACGAACGCCGAGGUUGUCUGAGGACUUGCUCUGCGUCGAUGUUCGGCAGUGCGCUGGGAGCUCGCUCUGUGUGGACGCCCGAGCUGGGGUGCUCGCUCGCGGACGACAAGACAGCCGUUUCCUGUUUGAGAAGAGGCAGCCACCCGUUCUGCGGGUGCGUGUUUCCCUGACGGUUUCUCGGAAACUUUUCUGGGGAAAGGUUUCCAGCGAGCGCCGCGGAGCCGCGCGGGGAAAGCAGGGAGAAAAUCGGCGCCACCUGACAGCUCGAAUCUUCGCGAGCGUCGCGUAACGCGCAGAGCGAAAAACGGGAGCGGGAGAGCGCAAAAAACUCGCCGUCUUCUCGCGCGCGUUCGGCCGAACGGAAAGAAAAUACACGGAACAAAGAGAUGCGGAGAAACAGCCGUCACUUCAGACGACAUGCACUGCACAAAUGCUAGCGCGAAUAGACUUGUCAGCGAGCGCCGACCCGCGGACCCGCGGAACUGCCCUUCUUCUUGGUUCCGAACGCCAGAGGAGGGUCGCAGUUUUUUUUCUUCGGGCGCGACGAAACGUUCCUCUCCGAAGUUUUUCGAGGAAGUCGUCGGAAAGGACGAAGGAAGUAUAGAAAAGGAGGUAGAAAAGGAUUCGCUGGCGACCGACAGAGGUCGACCUCCUGCUGCUCGGCUUUACGCUGUGCAGGCAGAUAUCCUCCCGGGUGAGGAGACCUCCGGACAACAAAGGAUUUUUUCUCGUUUGGCCUGCUUUCUUCCGAGCUCUGACUCACGAAGAAAAAGGCGUCUCCACUCGUCAAACGAAGAGAAGGAACACACACGCCGACUCUCUACCUCUUGAAGGUGCAAGAGACAGCGACUCUCGGGCCUUCCUCCCCUCAAAACAAUCGUUUUCCUGGGUCAUGUCUGCAAGCCGGGGAAGAAAGCUUUUCGCGAUCCGCAUGUAAAGUGCGCCAACUGCAGCGGUGUGUCCAGCGCGUGUUUAGAGAAUGGAUGUCUUUCUACACACUGGUCGAGAAACAUCGUGGCGUUCGCCGCGGUCGAAGACAUAGGCGCCCACCCCCACCCCCCCCGCUCAAAGCCUGCUCAGUCUGUUUCUCUCAGACUACCGAGGGUCAGGCGUUUGCGUCCUCGCUUGCGAUGAUCGUGCCUGUUUACCCUCAGCUUCUGGACUGAUCACCUGCAGGACUUGCUCCCUUCGCUGUGAGUCGCGUCCUCAGUUGCGUCGCCUGCCGUGGCGCGAAUUCCGAUGUGUGUGUUUGGUGAAGAGCCGUGGAAACGAAGGGAAUCUCAGCUGUGCGAGAGACAGGGUUGUUGCUCAGGACGUCUUGUUCAACGGAGCCGCGGUAAACGAGAUGCCGCGUCGUCCGUGGCGCUGGGGAACAGACGCGCCGUCUCGUUGGCUCGACUGUGCUUGUGGAGUGUCUCUGAAAAGACUGCGCUCUUCUGUAGUCAACGAAACGGAGGCGACGGUGCUCGAGACCCAGCCGUCGUCGGGAAGUCUGAGAGACUCGCUGCACUUGCCCAGGUCGUUCAGGUUGCGCUCUCCCGAGUCGUUGAGGCAGAAAACUGGCCGACAGCGCACCACCAGACACGCGCUGCGACUUUUUGUCACUCUCUCUCGCAUCUCCAGUUUCCAGAGAGAAGCACAGCGACGGUUGCACAGAUACUGCAUCACAUGGAGAGGCUCCAGGCAUGUAGAGGACUCUUGAAAGAAACGCAGUGGAGGAUUGCACCCUGUCGUCAGCGUGAGAAACUGACAGACAGUCUCUGCCACGCGUAGACGUUCUAGAAACGCUUCUUACAUCUCCCGAUGUCAAUACCUACCUACCUACAUUCCUCUUUCAAUUUAUAUAAAUAUAUAAAUAUAUAUAUAAAUAUAUAUAAAUAUAUAAAUAUAUGUAUGUAUUGUCUGUGUAUACAAACGUUUGUGGUGAGAGAGACCGGAGAGGCGUUCGUGUCUAAGCGUUCGCCGAGAAAAGCGAGGGAGCCAUCUGUCGAGAAGCGCGGUGAGACUUCCUCCCUUUUCGUCGCAGUUCCAGCGGGACAUCUGCAUGCGCUGCUGGGAACAAAGUCUCCAUAGGGAGAAAAGAGAAUCUCGUCUUCACCUCCACCGCCGAGAAAAGUUCUUUCCUCGACUCGAGGCGCAGCGCCGACAUGGCAGCUCUCCCUCGAGGCAAAUCAUGGAGAAGAGUCCAAGGCUUCUCCUUGAAUAGACGUCAACGCAGAGUUCCACCGGCAGUAUGCACUUGCAAUCAAAUACGCACUCAUUCGUUUACAGUUGAUAUUCACACUCGCACUUCUGCAUGCAUACAAAGACGCACACAUAUGUAUUUUCAUAUAUGCAAAUAUGUAUAGGUCCAUUUUUGAGAACAAAUCCUCCCCAAGGAGAGAUGUAAGAAAGAUUGAAGAGUCGAGACUGCUGGCGGUGUCUUUCUCUUCAGUUCGAGCGGGAGACGACGAAGCUCGCGCGAGUUUCUUUCUACGCCACAGAGAAGGAAUUGACGCAGGGGCCAACGCUGAUCUCUCCACUUUCUCCUUGACAGGGCAAACGUUGCAUCUCCACUGUGAGGACGAGACUGCGACUUCGUUCGGGGUCUGGAUUGAGGCUCAAGAAGCCCUCGAGUGUAUCGACAGCUGCUCUCUGUCUCGCGUCGCUUUCGCCUGACGUUCGUUUCUCGCUCUUCUCUUCGCUCACCGCCGCCUCCUCCGUGGUACUCACAGCCCAACGAGGCGUGACCGCGACGCCGUUUCCGUUGGCGUCCUGAAAAAAGAAGCCGAGCAAGUUGCCGAGAGACACCGACCGAUUCAGAGCGAGAAAAGCGACACACACAUUGGCGCAGAGAGACGACAUGAACAAGCGAAGUGCAAAAGAAACAGACAGGAAGAAGAGAAAGAAGAUGAGACAGAAGAUCGCCGAGACGUUUCCCUCUGUCUCCUGUGCGUGCCUCCCGUUUUUCUUUUUUUCGAUGCGAGUCGAGUCAAUUUGAGUUUGAGUUUUUUGAGUCCAAUGCAAAUCGCAGAGUUGAAGCAGCGCUGUCCUGACAGCUUCUGCUUCCUUGUCUAGUUUUCGCUCUUCCUCUGCCGCCUUCUCGUUCGCUUUCUCUUCCACGCUCUCGACUCUCCUGCCUACCCUGAGGUGGAGCAGCGUCUGCUUCCAGUGUGUGCCUGGACUUAGAGGAGACGUCGAGAGACAGACGAAACCUGCGCGUUUUUCUCUUGUCGCCGGCUCUCCGGCGGCGCCCGAACUGCGUGUGUCUCCACCGGUGGUCGCCGCCGCGACCUUCAGGUUUUGCGCCGUUCCAAAGGAUUGAGGCCCCGCGAAAAAGGAGAUCGGCGCGUCUCCCGCGCGGCCUUCGCGGGUUCGCUCGAAGAAGCACUCGAAGUAAACCAGGAGGGUCGUCAAGGUAGGGCAGGCGACAGCCGCGAGCGCAGACGAGGACGAGGAAGACGAGGGGAAAGAGCGGUGAGAAGGGCGCCGAGUCAGGUCGACCUGCAAAGCGAGGAACGAACGCACAAGGGAGAGACUCGCCUCACGCAGCUG